UUGGAGGGCAAGUCUGGUGCCAGCAGCCGCGGUAAUUCCAGCUCCAAUAGCGUAUAUUAAAGUUGUUGCAGUUAAAAAGCUCGUAGUUGAAUUUCGGGAUCAAUCUGUUGGUCGUGCCUUUGGUACGUACUAGCUUAUUGAUUUCUCCCUUCUGACGAACCAUGAUGUCAUUAAUUUGGUGUCAUGGGGAAUCAGGACUGUUACUUUGAAAAAAUUAGAGUGUUUAAAGCAGGCUCACGCUUGAAUACAUUAGCAUGGAAUAAUGAAAUAGGACGUUUUGAUUCUAUUUUGUUGGUUUCUAGGAUCGACGUAAUGAUUAAUAGGGAUAGUUGGGGGCAUUAGUAUUCAAUUGUCAGAGGUGAAAUUCUUGGAUUUAUUGAAGACUAACUACUGCGAAAGCAUUUGCCAAGGAUGUUUUCAUUAAUCAAGAACGAAAGUUAGGGGAUCGAAGACGAUCAGAUACCGUCGUAGCCUUAACCAUAAACUAUGCCGACUAGGGAUCGGAUGAUGUUAAUUUUUAAUGACUCAUUCGGCGCCUUACGGGAAACCAAAGUGUUUGGGUUC
rnacentral:rRNA from 1 species